CGGGGAUCCCGGGCAGCCGCUGCUGAAGGGCUUAGGCUCAUUCGCAGAGGAAAGUCCGAACUCCGCAGAACAGUGCGCUUCCUAACCGGAAGGUGCUAAGUCCGCCAGCCCAAAGGCCGGCGGCCAAGGCAACGGAAAGUGCAACAGAAAGAUACCGCCGAUGGUCCGUGGAAACACGGACACAGGUAAGGGUGAAAUGGUGGGGUAAGAGCCCACCGGCAGGCGGGUGACCGACUGGCCCGGUAAACCCCGCACGGAGCAAGAUCAAGCAGAAUGCUGGCCACUUCGGUGGCGGAUGGUUGUUCGUCAUCCUCUGUCCCUGAAAAGGGGCGGUCGGCAUUCGGGUAGAUCGCUUGAGGUCGAUGGCAACAUCGAUCCCAGAGAAAUGGUUGCCUCCCUCGCCCCGUUGCGAGGAAGACAGAAUUCGGCUUACAGGGGUCUCCGCACU
rnacentral:RNase_P_RNA from 1 species